ensembl:lncRNA
AAGGAGACUCAUAUUUAAGAAGAGGAAAAAGGAAGUGUCGCUCUCUUUUCCUGUUCCUGCUCCAGCAGUGGGAUGUGAUUCACCAGCAAGGAGGGACGCCAAGAAGGCGUCUGAUAAGAUAAGUCUUAUAAAAUAUAUAGAUGUAUGAUAAUUGAGACUGAGCUAACAGAUAAGGAUCCUAGUCAUUGGCCAAGCAACACUAUACCUAAUACAAGUCUCUCUGUAUUUAUUUGGGCCCUAACUUGGUGGGCAGCUGGCGUAGAGUACACAUGUGGCAGUGGGGCUUGGGUGGCUUUUGGCGGAAAGAUUUAUUGUAACAAGUGCGAGCUGGGAUUGGUAUAUAAAAUGGGUAAAGAUUGUUUUAAAAUAAAAAAAGUGAUUUAAAAAUCAUGUAUGUAUCCAUAAAACAAAUCCUUCUUUUCUCUAUUCCUGUAUACCUGUCUUCCUACCCACCCCACUUCUGUUUUUUUAAUUUUUUAAUUUUAGAAACACUCUUAUUUACAUAUCCAUCCCCCCAUUUCCUUACCAUCCCAUCCUCCCAACCAACCACCACCCACCUCCUCCUUAGGGAUAGUGAGGCCCUCCAUGGGGGACACUCAAAGCCCCUCACAUCAUUUGGGGGAGGGCCCAGGCCCUCCUUCCUAUAUAUCGGCUGCAAUAGUAUCCCUCCAUAGGGAAUGGGCUCCCAAAACCCAUUUGUGCUCUAGGGAUAAACACUGGCUCCUCUGUUAGAAGUCCCAUAGAGUAUCUUGGCCUCCUAGCUGGUGUGUACAUUCCCAGGGCUUGGUGUGGUCCAAUGCUGGUUCCCCAGCUUUAUGGCUAGGGUCUCUGUGCUCCCACUAUGUCAGGUCAACUGUUUCUAUGGGUUUCUCCAGCAUGGUCUUGGCUCCUUUGCUCAUCCCUCCUCCCUCUCUACACCUGGAUUCCAGGAGUAUGGCUGUAGGUGCCUGUUUCUGCUUCGAUCAGCUACUGGAUGAAGGCUCUAGGAAUGAUAAUGAAGGUAGUCAUCAGUCUCAUUAUAGGGAAAGGGCAUCAAAGGCAGCCUCUCCACUACUGCCUAGAUUCUUAGUUGGGGUCACCUCUGUGGAUCUCCUAACACUUCCCCUGUGCCAGACCUCUCUCCAAACCUGUACUGUCUCUCUGAUGCGAGAUCAAUCCAGUCCGUAAGGCUAAGGUUUCUUUAUUCAAGUAACACCAGCCAAGCACAAGCCAAAGCGGGCCAGGGGCAACAGGGCAGCCAGGCCAGAGAGAAGGGAGAAGGGAGAAGAGGCUCUCCACGUGUGCACGCAUCACCCUAGACUUCCCCUCACCACACCCUCACGGGCAUGUCCUGGCACACCAGUCCAGGAUACUAGGAGGCUGGGCUACAGUGUCUCCCUACAUCUCCCUCUAGGAAGGCAUCUUCUUUCUUGCCCUCCUCUAUUCCUCCCCUAUCUCAGUCCUCUUGUUCUCCUUCCCCCUCUCCUUUUACCCAUCUCCCCCUCCCACCUCCUUCCUCUCCCCAGCUUGCUCCCAAUUUGCUCAGGGGUUCUUGUCCUCCUCCUCUUCUUUGAGGAACCAUGCAAUCUUCUCUUGGGGUUAUCUUUGUUUCCUAGCUUCUCUGGAAUGUAGAUUGUAGGCUGAUAAUCCUUUGCUCUAUGUCUAAAAUCCAAAUAUGAGUGAGUACAUAACAUGUUUGUCUUUUUGUGACUGGUUUACCUCUAGUUCUAGUUCUAUCCAUUUGCCUGUGAAUUUUAAGAUUCCAUUGUUUUUUCCUCUGAGUAGUAUUCUAUUGUGUAAAUGUACCACGUUUUCUCUAUCCAUUCUUCAGUUGUGGGGCAUCUAGGCUGCUUCCAGGUUCUGGAUAUUACAAACAAGGCUGCUAUGAAGAUAGUUGAACAUAUAUCUUUAUUGUUUGAAUGUGCCCAAGACAGGAAUUGCUGGAUCUUGAGACCUUGGCAGAGCUCCAGUGCUUGUUGCCCUUCCAUUAAUUGAAGGGGGAAUGAAAUAUGAAGAUGCAGUACAGUUCAUAAGACAAAAGCAGCAUGGAGAUUUUAAUAGCAAGCAACUUUUAUAUCUGGAGAAGUACCAUCCUAAGAUGUGGCUGCACUGCAAGGAUUCCAAUGGUCAUAGAAACAACUGUGGUGCCUGAUGCUAUGGCCUUGGGAGUAGAGCUUCAGAUGGGAUCUUAUUUGUCAUACAAAAAGAAGACGUGGGAUCUGCUAAUGAACUGAGCAGACAUGUUUUAUAUGCCUUUUCAACUAUGUAACUUAAUAAUUGGAUACUUGAUCAUUUGUUUUAUUAUGCAAUCGAUAAGAUGGUGAUGUGUAUUAAUAUUAUUUCAGCCAUAUAUUAAUAUUGUCUAGAAAUGUGUGGUUAUAGUUCUGUGGGAGAAAUAAUUUGUCAGUGUUUGCCAGCUUGUGAAAACUUAGUGCAAGAGCUUCAACAUCUAAAUAAAGAAUGAAAUACAUUUGUCACUGAAAAAAUAAGAAGGAUGAGGAAGAGAAAGGUUAAAAAGUAGGAUUCAUUUACUUCAUUGUGUCUGUAUGUUUUGUUUCUAUGCAUGUGUGGAGGUUUUGUUUUGGGUUGAUUGGUUUUGUUCUUGUGCUGCUGUGAGGAUGGAAUCUGAAUUGCUUUGAUCACAUUUGCAGUAGGAUCAAACACAAAAGAAUAAUCAUGAAUAAAUCUGGUUAAGUAAGGAAAACAAUGAAAACUAAAACAUGGAUAAAAGAUGUUAAAGAGGGAAAAGUAGGACCUGGGGAGAGGAAUUAUAUCAGUGGUUAAGAGCACUUGUUGCUCUUGCAGAGAAUUCAUGUUUAGUUCUCAUAAUAGUGGUUGCCUUACAGCCUCCUAUAAUUCUAGCUCCAGGGGGUCUGACACUCCAGAUCCAGGUAAGUAUGUAGGCACAGAAAUACAUGUAGACAAAACUCUUUUAGACAUAAAAUAUGCAAAUCUUUAAAACAUAAAAAAUACAUAAAUGAACAGACACAUUUAAAUUGUACAUAGUUAGAAGUAGUAUUGCUAAAACAUCUAUACCAUCCAAACAGGACAUAGAUCCAGUACAAUAUUUAUGAUAGUUCUACUGGAGAUUUUCAGAGAAAAAAGAAAGUUCUAAAAUGCAUGUAAUACUUAAACAGACCACGAAGCUAUAGCCAAAGCAAUUCUGAGAAAUAAAACAAAGCUUUGAGCAGCAUACUCCUUCAAGUUACAUUACAAAGUUAUAAUGGAAAUAUUUCAGUCAUUUUAUAACAGACAUAUAAACAGAAUAUGUGCAAUCAACAAGUCAAGUUUUUAAGAGAGCAUAAGAAAACACUAUGAAGAACUGGUAAUAUCUCAAUAAAUGGUGUUAAGGAAACUAGAGUCAUGAAAGAAUAAAAUUGAAAUUUGUGUCAGCAGUUCAAAGACAACACAAAAUGAAUUAACUAAAUUUGAGCUGAGUCUUAUAGACUCUAUUUUGUUUAUUUAUUUAUUUGUUUAUUUUUGUUGGUGGUACGGAGGCUUUGUUUCAGUUUGUUUUUCUUUUAGAGAGAGAGCAUGAAUUUGGGUGAAUAUGAAGAUAGGGAGGAUCUAGAAGGAGUUGAAAGAAGAGAAAUAUAUAAGAAGCCUACAUAGCCUGUGUUGGAAACAAAGCAUGUUUUGAAAUUUGGUUGCUUUGCCUUGCCUUAGUUCAAAAGUAUGAACAUUAAGGAUCCUUACUGUGUUACCACCCAUAGGAGCUCUCCCAUCAGCAGUGACUUUAAUUAUGUCCCAAUUAACCUUAAUUAGGACAGUUUUGUCUAACAGUGCAUCCAGAGAGAUCACUAAACAAACAGCUUGACAAACACUGUCACUUAAAACCUUUUCCAAAUAUGGCACUUUCUUAAUUAAGAAAUAAAGUUGUGAAGUUGCUUUAUUCACAGACAUUAUUUGAGAAAUUAGAGGGGGAGCUCAGGCCUCUUUUCCGGUCACAUUCUUUAAAUGCAUGGGUUGCAACAGGACUGAAUAUUUGCUGCAGCUGGAGACAGACUUCCAGUGCAGGACCAGAGGAGUACAGACCCCAUCCAUCAACUGUGUGUUCACUCCAGGUGGACAAUGAGAUGCUAUCCAACUACUGGAGUCAGUUUCACUUUUCAGAAGAAGAUUUAAAAAUGAAAGAAAGACAUUUCAUGGAAAUAAUGAAAGAACUUACAACUGCUUUGUUUGUAUCAAGUUGAAAGUCACCACAUAAAAAGUUAGCAGAGGAUUCUGAUAAAUUUGACAUUUUACACUAUAUCUUGGACAUUUUCAUGAUACUGGAUCUUAUACUGAAAAGUCAUUCCUUUCAUUGACUCAAGUUAUUAUUUGGGUUCCUCAACUCAUGUUUUUGUUUUUGUUUUUUUGUUGUUGUUGUUGUUGGGCCUAUGUACUUCUCAUUUUUUACUUUUGGUCUUUGCCAAUGCAAAUUUUUUUCUUUUCACCGUAUUUAAAUCUCUCUUAAAAUAUUUUAAUAUGAAAUGUAUUAUACAAAAUAUACAGCAUUUAUUCAUACAGUGUUUACAUAUACAUAUGUUGUACUUCAAACCCACUUAAAAACAGAACAAUAGUUGAAACCUUCUUGUGCUUCAGUCCCAUCACAUAAGCCUUCUUCCAUACAAGAUACACAAUCUAAGUGCAAAGUAUUCAUCUUCAUAUUAGUGAGAAUUCUGCCACCUAUGUAUGGCAUAGGCAUAAAUUGCAUAAAAUCUAUAAUAUUUAACAUUUAUACUUGAACAACCAUAUGUAAUAUUUUUUGUUAAUUUGGGCCCACUAACACUAUGUGGUGGAUAGAGGAAGGUCUUAAGAAACCCUGUCCUUCUCUGAAGAUUUAUUGGCAAUUAAUGGUUGCUAGAGAGGAGUUAUUUUCUUCAGCAGUGUAGCAGUUGCUAAAAUGCUGAGCUGAAGCACAAAUUGGUUGAAAGACACCCACAGAAAACUACAACAAAUCAGUAUACAUAGUGUUGGAGUCCAGUCCCAUAGGAUACAUUUACAGUACAUUACUGGACCUAAGGCUCAGGGAAGACUGUAGAAAAGGGAACAGAAAGAGUAUAAGAGCCAGCAGGGACUUUGUUGUGAGCUUUGUCUUCUACUAGCAUCAGAAAUUACACUGGCAAAGUCUCACCAACAAGACCAUCCCCAUGAGAUGAACAAGCAGGACACAAACAAACAUGCCCAACUCAAUUAGGAAAAGACCAUGAGGCCUCAAAUCUACACAAAGAACUACAGGUAAUUGAAUAUCUCUGGGAGCAGAAGAGAUAAACCUCCGCAGAGAAAGCAUACCAACUAGUUGUCCAGCCCUAUAAACAAACAUAAAUAUAAGUAACAUAUUACAGAUUCAACAGGAUAUUUGGCUAUAUGUAUAUAUGCAUCCAAUUACAAUUGAUGAAAAAUAAGGGAAUUGAUGAAAUUGAAGGGCAAGUUUGAAAGGGAUAAGGGAGAGUUGUAACUAAAAUACAAUCUCAAAAGGAAACUUGAACAAAAACUUUCUGAAGGGAAAAAGGACACCAACAACUUUAUCUAAAUAUGCAUGAAUAACUCAACUUUAUUUUGGCUGUAAAUAUUCAGCUAUAUGUUACUAAAAUAUAAGGAUUCAUUUCAGCUGAUGGAGUGUGGAGGAGGUAGUCAGGGGCCCUCCCAAGAAUUCCAACCCCAUGCAUAUACCUGUCUUUAUGUACUCAAGUCAACAAUGACAUAGGAGCCAUGAUAGAGACACCACAGAAUCCAAACCUGUGAGUUAACUUCACAUUUGUAGAUUAUCAUACAUGGCUAGGCAUGUGUACCUGUGAAAGGAAAGCAGGUCAGACAGUCAGUUUGACAAGUCAGACAAGUCAGUCAGAAAGAGACUACUAGGGACCUCCAAAGAGGGAAGAGUGGUCCUCAGUUAUCCUAUUACUAUUUUUCUGAUAAAUGGAUAUAAGAGUAAAAUUGCCUCCUAAUGACUAAAUCUAAACAUGAAAAGGGGAGUUGGCAGUGAAGGCCCAUCAGUAGCCAGGGAGCUAUUGGCAACUGAUAGCUUCUUUGAGAAGAGGAACUGGUUUAAGAAUAACCCCUGAUAACAUGGCCAUACUGUGGUGGAAUGUUAUACCCAGAAACAUACCCAGAAAUAUAUGGGCAGCAUAAAUUUGACUUAACAGGUAUUUUUUUUAUAAGGACACACAUUUGGGUGCCUCAGGCAUGGGAAAUGGGAUCUGUGAGGAGUUUAUGGGAAGAAGUCUCUGUGAAGAAUGAAUUGAUAAAAUCACAUGUUGCCAAAUCCUCAAAGAACUAAUUUUAAAAAUAGUCAACUAAGGAGUGAGGACUUCAGUCCCAUAACUGUGGGAAACUGACUUCCUUAAACUAGCAAGGAGCAUAAAGGAACAGAAGCAGCCUGAAAAACCCCUCGGCUUCAGUCUCAUGAGGCCAAGAGCACAGAAUCCAGGUGGACCCAGCUCAGAUUUCAUACCUACAAAACCCAUGUGAGUUAGUAAAGUUGAUCAGUGGUGUAUUAGUGAACAUCUGUUAGGUAAUAGAAACUCAAUACUACUUAAUUUUAGAAAUUUUAAAACCAUUCCAUGCUGUUCUGAACAUAUUUUUCUCAAUGUGACCAGAUGCCGAGAUGAAAGAGGUGAGUUAUAUACACCUAUGAACAGAAUAGGUCUGUGCAGUUACAGGUGAACUAUACACAUCCAUGAAUAGAAUAGACCUGUGCCAGGGUGCAUACAUUCUUGAAUAAUGCUAAUUUGUUUUCCAAAAAAUUUCAAGUUAUCUUUUCCCCAGCCAUCACAAUUCCUUUUGUUUUACAUCUAUUUCAGUUGACAAAUUCUUGUCAGAAUUUGAUCUUGUCAUAAAUCAAUGAAAUUCAUAUAUUUUAUCUGUCAUGAUGAUCAUGGAGUUUUUUUUUUCUUUUUCCAUCUGUUUUGAUAAAUUACAUCAAAUAACUAUUUUAUAGGCAAGCAAUAAGUACAAAGUAGUUAAGAUAUAUUUUGUAAUUUUGUACUAUGUUUGCUAUUAGCUUUACAAUGUGUUUCCACAAUAGUUUUUUUAGACAGAGUCUCUUUAUUUAGCCUUGGUUGGUCUUAAAUUGCAAUGCAUACCAUGCUAACUUCAAACUCGUGGAGCACCACCUGUGUCUGCCUCCUUUAACCCCUACUAGUGUUGGGAUUAAAGGUGUGAAGCUCCACAAAGCUCUAAUUCAUGAGUUUCUAUUCAUCUAGACUCUUAAAAAAAUCCUUAGUUUAGAAUUGUCUAUUCCUUGAACAAUUUUAAAUUUUAUUUUGAGAAUAUUUUUAUUUUUUGAAAUUUUCAUUCAUCUAUAAAAUGUUUUUAAUCAUAUCUGUCCAACGUCACCUCCCUGCUACCUUCUCCAGUGCCACCCACCUCUCAAUCAACUUCAAGACCUGGGAAACCUGGGUUUCAACCCACCAAAACUGAAACUAAACACUUAUUUCUUAUCUGCACAAAGCUCAAUAAGUGGAUCUAGGACCUAAUAUAAGACCUGGAACUCUGAAACUUCUGAAGGAUAAACUAUUGAGUGUAUUCCAUCAUUUGGGCACAGGUAGAAAGCUUCUGGAUAGGACUCCUGCAGUGCGGAAGUCCAUUUGUGCUCUAGGGAUAAACAUUGGCUCCACUGUUUGAGGUCUCAUAGACUACCUUGGCCUUCUAGCUGGCACCCAUUUUCAGAGGGUCAAGUUCAGUCCAAUGCUGUUUCCCCAGCUUUAUAACUAGGGUCUCCAUGCUCUCAGUAGGUCUGGUCAACUGUUUCUCUAGCACUGUCAUGGCUCCUUUGUUCAUCCCUUUUCUCUCUCUCCACAACUGGAUUCCAGGAGUAUGGUUCAGUGCUUAGCUAUGGGUGCCUGUCUCUGCUUGGAACAGUUACUGCAUGAAGGCUCUAGUAAUGGUAACCAAGGUAGCCAUCAAUCGCAUUAUUAGGGAAGGGCAUCAAUGGCAUCCUCUCCACCAUUGCCUGGAUCUUAGUUGUGGAACUAGAAGAAACCAUCCUGAGUGAGGUAACCCAGUCACAAAAGGAUAAACAUGGUAUGUACUCACUCAUAUAUGAUCUUUAGACACAGAGCAAAGGAUUGCCAGUCUACAAUUCAUGCUGCCAGAGGAGCUAGGAAACAAGGAGGACCCCCAAGAGAAGUUUGCAUAAUCCCUCGAAGAAGGAUUAUGGGAGCACGAGGGGCAUUGAGGAAGGAAGUAGGAAGGAGGAAAGGGGAGCGGGAAGAAAACAAGAGAAAUGCAACUUUCUUUUAAAUAAAAAUAACUGGAAAAUUCUUUCUUGAAGCAAUCAGAUUCCUUGAAAAAUUGCUUCAGUGUCAAUCUCAUUCAUUUUCUAAUGCAGGGACAUGUUUCUCUACAAACAUCUAUAUAUUCUUAUUUCCUGGGUCUUUACAAAUGAAAGUUUUGUAUGCCUUAGUUAUCUGUUAAACAAAAUAUUAGGUAGGAUUACUGAUGGACCUAUGGUACAAUCAUCUCAUUUUUAGCAAUUCAUCCUCAUAGUUAGUUACUCCUUUCUGCUGUUUUAGUUUCAAUUAUUUUUACUUGAUUUUUUAUUGUUUUUCCUUACAAGGACAUCUUAGCUCUUUAAUUGCCACCCUCUCCUCAUCUGUGUGUAAGCAUUUGAUACCAUUAUGUUCUAAGAAGCUGUGUCUUGCAAAUUUCUAUGAGUAGCUGUCUUGUCACUGCUUGCUGUUUAUAAAUCGUUAAAUGAAAAAGCAAUCUUUUGUUUCUUUUCAUAGUCUACACAAAUACAUGAAUCUUUAGCACGAGAUCAUCCCAUGUUUCACACUCACAAUGUUUUUUCUAAGUUCAGUGAGCAUCCUGAAUUUGACAAAUACACCCCUCAGCUCCCAGUAUUAGACUGUGAAGGUAUUAACUUUGUUUGGACCAUCCCAUGCCACUUUUCCACUAUCAGAAUCCUUUGGUAUAAAAAUCUUUGGACUUUUGCUAUACACAUAAGAAUGUUAUUUAUUUUAUUCCUAAAUUCUUAAGGGUCAAAACAUAGUGCCUUCUGUUCAAAAGGGAAAGCCAUUUCUGUGGAUGACAACAGAUUCACUCUCCUUUGCUAAGUCUGCUUGACAAGGGCUUAACUCUGUAAAAACUUCAAAAGCUGAACAGUCUCAAAUGCCUUUUAAAUCCUUUAUCUUUCCUUUACAAUCCUGCCAUGUGUGGGUAUUCAUUAUAUGCAACUUGCAAUCAAAUUUCUGCUCUUCAAGCAGAAAAUUGUCUUUCAUCAGUUUUAAACACUUCACAUAUUUCCUGAUCCUCUACACGCAGGUUGGAGUGAGCAGACACAUAGGAGGCUGCACUCAUUUCUCUUGAUACAUGAGCUUAGGCAAAUCAUAAAACAUUAUUGUAGACUAUAAAGAGGGAAAUUAUUUCCAAGAUGCAUGGUUUUCAGAACUCUGUCUCCUUAUAUUUCCGAGGAGAAUCUAGAACUAUACUUGGAAACUACUUUUGUUAGAACUUGAAAGUGACUUUAAGUCCCUUUGGUGAACUCUUGAGAGAGAAUGUACUGGGCCAAGUUCACUCAUCUUGUAAUAAGUAAUGGCUGUACCAUAAAGACAAAGAGUAUUUUUGUUGGUUUGUUUAUGCAAUAUUUUUAAAUUUAAUUAUUUCCAUUUUAAGUAUUAUCCCCAGUUCCUUCUCCCUUUCCUUCUCUCCCCUCCCCAUCCACUCCUCAGAGGGGCUAAGGCUUCCCUUGGGAAGUCAACAAAGUCUGGUAUACACAACCUGGAUGCAGGUGGGAAAACAAAGAGCAUUGAGAAAGACUUUGGAGGCCAGUUGCUCUAUGGGGGCUCAGACAUACCUGUAGGGAAGAGAGCAAUUCACAUAUAAAGGAGUGCAUGGGUCCUCACUAAAAAGCUUGCAGUAUUAUGCCAAAAUUCAGAGAGAAAGAAACAAAGAUGAAGUUAUUAAUGUAAUUCUAGAGCCACAAUGGAUCAGUCAAUAAAAUAAGUGAGAGAAAGCAAAAUGAGCAAACCACAUGCAAUUGACAUGAAAUCAGACUAAAUAUGAGAAUAGCCAAAGAUAAAUGCUUUACUUUGCAAAUAAGAUUAGCUAUAAGAAUUUAACAUGUAAAAUAAGUAUCUUAAAUGUAAAGAAACAGGAGACUAUCAAGCACUCUAGAGGCAUAGCGCUAAAAUCUAAAGUUACAUGAAAGCAGAAAUAAAUUAGUCUGGCAACUGAUUACUCAGAUUAAAUUUCCAUAUCAGAACCACCCUGAGAAACAUCUAAAGAUUUAGAGUAGGAAUUUUGAGGCUAGCAUCAUUAAGAGCACACUGCACCUCCUUUCAUGUGUAUAAACUGCAGCAGAGAAGAUUCUGCCAACCCUAUGAGUGCUGUCCUCAAUGUGGAAAAGCUCCAACCCUCUUCUCCCAUAAUUCAUUUUGUUCAGUGCUCUUCAGAAGUAGAUCAAAGGUAAUUCUUUCUUGAACUUAGCGUGUUGCCAUGUUACCAUCUCAUUUAUAGAAAUAAACUAAUUUUCUCUCAUUAGACAUUUCAGGAUUUGUAUUUCCUCCUAGUCGUCUUAACCACCCUUGCCAAGGGGUAAAAUCGGGACCUUCUGAUUUAAUGAGAGAGCAUGUCUCAAAAUAGGUAUCUGCACCCAUCCCCUCAUGUGCAUACUUUGCAGCACAUUGGUCACACACAAUAUAUAACUUACAUCCAUAUCAACUGAGAUUCGUUCUUGGAUUUCUUGUGAAUAUCAAACUCAGAAGGUGCUCGUGGACCUUAUGGAAGAUGGCUUAGUAUUGGUAUGGGAUCUAGGCAGUCCUCCCAUAUUCUUUAAAACAUUUAUAGACUGUCUAGAUGGAUGGUUUUUCUUCUACAUAUUUGCAUAUAAAAACUGUAUUUUUCUGCCAAAAGAGAAAACUCAUAUUUUCUCCAUUCUUUUUAACUUCAGUUUUAGAAAGAAAACUAUUUCCACCAGGUAAUAGCAUCCUGAACAUAAAAUACUAUCCCCAUCUUCUUUAAAAUGAGGGUAAUCGCACCUCCUAACUUCUGGGAUUUGACCUCUACACCAGCACUGUACUUCUGGCAAAUAAGAACUUCACUGUACUGUAAAUAUAUUAUAUAUAGUAUUAUCAUUAGAGGUGACUGUCCAUUUCAUCCAGGUCAGAAACAGCCCCAUAAAGUGUCACAGCACAAGUGGCAUCUACUGUCAGUGAACUCACAUCCAAUUGUAGUUCCUGUGUGGACUGUGGGAGAUGAGCAUUGUUCUGCCUCCACCCCCAGAAAGACACAUGAGAACACAGAUGACAGCUGGUUUUCUAUUUUUUCAUAAUACAUUUUUCAGUGCUGGACUCACAGCGUGUGGUUCUCUGCUAAUGUCUUACAUUUAGAAUGGCUCUUUCGGGCCAAAACGGUCACCCAGCCUGCUCUAGACCCAUUGCUCAUUCUACAUUUCACCCACCAAUCCAAGCAACAUUCUUCUUUCUUGGCUUCUCCUGGAGUAAUUCUUGUAAAUUUUAUUGUGGUGUACUCAGUAAUUAUAAUUCUCACUGUUUUUAAUAAUUCCUUUUCCCCUAUGCUUUAUCCCUGAAUAUUAUACAUAAGAUAUUUAAAAUAAACAUAUAGUAAAUAAGCAUAUCAGAAAUCACAGUGCCAAAAGUGAGUUAAAUGUAACAAUUAUUGUUUUGGGUUGUUAUUUCAAUCAUUUAGUUCUUGUUGCUUUUUCAAAUUCACUUGUAUGUAAAGAUUUUGUUUAAAAAUCUCCAGUAUUUUCAGGCUUCCUAAUCAAUCCUUUAUUUCUUCAGGCUCUUAUUAGAUUUAUAUUUGUGAGGCAUCCAGGUUGCUUCCAGAUUCUGGCUAUUACAAAUAAUGCUGCUAUGAACAUGGUUGAACAGAUGUCCUUGCUGUAUGAAUGUACACUCUUUGGGGUAUAUGCCUAAGAGUGGAAUUGCAGGAUCACGUGGUAGACUGAUUCCCAUUUUCUUGAGGAGUCGCCAUACUGAUUUCCAAAGUGACUGUACAAGUUUCACUCCCACCAGCAAUGGAGGAGUGUUCCCCUUUCUCCACAUCCUCUCCAGCAUAAAUUGUCAUUGGUGUUUUUGAUUUUAGCCAUUCUGGUAGGUGUAAGAUGUUAUCUCAGAGUUGUUUUGAUUUGCAUUUCCCUGAUGGCUAAGGAGGUUGAGUAAUUUCUUAAGUGUUGUUCAGUCAUUUUAGAUUCCUAGUGCACAAAUGGACUUUGGGAUCUCAUUCCCCAUGGAGGGAUACUCUCUCAGCCCGGAUACAUGGAGGAGUGCCUAGGUCCUCCCCCAAAUGAUGAGACAGACUUUGAUGGUUCCCCCAUGGAAGGUCUCAACCUUCCUGGGGAGUGGAAUGGGGGAUCAGUGGAGGGCAUUUGAGAAUGGGAGGGAGAGGGAACUUGGGUUGAUAUGAAAAAUAAGAUUGUUUUUAUAUUAAAUACAUAAAACACCUUGAAUGUCCACAGCUUCAUGACUGACAUAAUGUUCUUUGCCAUUCAUGUUUUUCCAUUUAAAAAUGUCUAUUUAUUUCUAAUAAUGCUUAAUUAAAUUUUAUUUUACUAUAUAUUUGCUAGAUAUCAGUUUUAAUUUUGUAUUUAUAUGGUUUUUCAUGUCUUUAUUUUAAUCUGUUUAUGUGAUGGUAUGGCGUGUUUUUUUUUUUUUGUUGGGCUGGUUGGUUAGUUGGUUUUGGUGCUAUUUUCAGUAUAUGAAAGAAGCCCAUUUCAAUAUCAUUAUUUUUUCAUUUUUGAAGUUUGAGAUUAUAAUGUAAUUACAUUUCUCCCUCGCCUUUCCUGCCUCCAAAUUCUCCCAUAUACCUUUCCUUGCUCCCUUGCUCUCUUUCAAAUACAUGUCAUCUUUUUUCAUUAAUUCUUUAUAUUAUAUAAUAUAAUUAUAUAUUCCUAAAUAUAACCUGUCUGUCUGUACAAAAUUAUCAUAUGGAUGCUUUCAGAGCUGACUAUUAUUUAAUAAAUAAACACUUGGUGUUAAAAUCUUCCCCAGGAAAUGUCUCAGCAUUCCUUACUUGUCUAUGGUUAUUUGUGUAGAGUUGAGACCUCUUGGGUUUUUCUCCAUCAACUUCAGCAGACUCAUUGGUGUUGUACUUGUUCAGCUCAUGUUUGUCUCAUCAUGUUGGCGAGGCUUUACGGAUGUAGAUUCUGAAAUUUCUAGGAGACACAGUCUCACAACAAACACCCUGAGCUGCUGGGUCUUACAGUCUUUUUGCCUGCUCUUCAACAUUAUUUCCUGAGCCUUAGGUACAGGGCUAUGGUGGAGAUGUAUCCUUUGGGACUGGGUUCCAGUCUACAUAUUAGUUGGUUAUGGUUUUCUGUAUUUUAAUAGACAAGUGAAGACUAUGCACAUCUACUGAGUCUGGGAGGACUUGUAUCUGAUACCUCAUAUUUGAUUGUAAAUGACAGAAUUAAAUUUCUGUCAUUCUUCCCAUUUUUUAAUGAUUUGGUAAGAUUUCCUGUUUAUUUUUGGGGGAAAUAAUCUUGUAAUAAAGACUGUUGUCUGCCUGUUUGUUUUUGGCCUCCCUAGGUGAAUACACUUAAUCUAGAGCUGGGUUCUCUCACCAGCUGUCAGAUUGAGAACUUGGAGCCUCUAGGUUCAGGUCAGCAGCCCAGUGGCUGAAACUUCCAAACAUUCACAUGUGUCCCUUUGUCUACAUAUCUACUUUCUCAAGUUCCCAUGCACCCAGACUCCUAUCUCUAAGAAUAGGAUGACAGACGAAUUUGCUUUACAUGCUAUAAGAAGCCCCUAAAACAUCAUGUGCUAGACUCUGUCCUCUUCACCUGAAGUGACUAAAACCUUGAAACUACAGCCUACUCCCCUUUCCAAGAAAAAAAGUCUCAAUUUCUAGUCUGUUCAGUUUUGUGUUUUUCUAUCUUGUUCCUUGUCUGUAGAAAUGGUUGUCUUUUGAUUCCAAACAUGCCGUUUAAUUUUUUUUCUUGCUCACUACCUGGUUAAAGCAAAGAUGCCAUUUUGACCUUAAGAUGCUCUGUUCACUUUCUAAUUCUGUAAUUAUGGUUUAUUCACUGUUCUCUCUCUCACACACAAGUCAUUCCUUUUGAUUCUCAAAAGACUGUUUUGGAAGUCAGAAAGCUGGGUAUUGGCUGUUUCUUCUUUUCAUUUCCUCCCUAAUGAUCUGCUUAUCCCAAGGCAAUGUACAUGCCUCUAACUGAGAAGGUAAGAGGUCACAGCACAAAGGAAAUGAUAAAAAGUAAAUGUUCAAAAAUUACUAUUUUGAGAUGCUUUCUGUAUAUGUCCCUAAUGAGGACUAUGCCUCAAAGCCUGGGUUUAGGCAUUCUAUGUGCAUGAAAUUGAGCAUAGUCUAACCUAGAAAUAACUACUGAUGAAUUUAAUAUUGACUUCUUUCAGUAUCUUCUAUUCCCCUUGCUCCUUGAGGCCAGGAACUCAAGAAGUAUAAAAAGAAAGAUUAGUAAUGCUUUAAUCCCAGCUGUUUUUGUGGAGAAAGAAACAAAAAGGAAGAAAGUAUGGCAUGAAGAAGGAAAUAAAGAUGAAACAAUCAGCUCCAUGGGGACUUUGAGCUCAGGAUGAUUAAAAAUAUGAUACCUACACAAGAGCAUAGAAGACUCUCAACUAGCUGAGAUUGCAUGGCUGUGGACAAAGACGUCCUGACAACCUAAAAUACAGACCUCAUGAACUGGAUGAGCACUUUGUGGCCUAUUGAAAUCUUGGGUGCAAACCCAGUCAGCAGCAGCACUUUGCAGAUCUUUAUGGAUGUCUAGGCUAUCAUCUAUUAUAGUGUGUGAUUCUCUGUUGGCAAGCAUUCAAAGAUCCAGGAAUUAAGAUGUAGAAAUGGAGGCAGCACAACUCUCUUUUGCUACUUAUGCCCCCCUAGCAAAAGUGUUCCUUCUUAUGCCUUUGGCUAUAUGCUAUGCCAAUAUAGAGGUGUUGUUUCAAAAGGGAGAAAUUCUUCUACCACAUGAUCCAACAUGAUUCCAUUGAAGCAGGUGUCUUAACUGGGCACUUUGGAUUCCACAUAUCUCUGAGUCAACAAAAAAUGAGGGUUGAUUGUACUGAUUAAGUGAUUGGCUUUGAUUACCGUGGGGAGUUUGACUUACUACGACACACUUGAAGUGAGAAACUGUUUCUCACACACAAGCAGUUUCCUCUUAGGGCUAUUACAACUGCGAUUAAACAGAGGAAAACUGUAACAGCACAGUUAAUAGGAGACUAUUAAUUGUUCACAAUGUCAAUAAUUGUUCACAUUGUCAAGAAUCAAAGCUUGGGUCAGGACCCUACACAAGAGACUGUAACUAGGCAAGCAGCCUGCUGAGACCAAAGGACCAUGACUAAUGAGGUACCUGUUGAGGAAAAAUGAAAUAGGGUAAAUCAAAAAAGGUACAUAGAUAUUAUAGCUAUGUGACUGAAACCACUUAGUCCAGUGGUUCUCCACCUGUGGUCUGUGAACCCUAUGACAAGUCUCUAUCUCCAAAAAUAUUUACAUUGCAAUUAAUAAUAGCAGCAAAAUAACAGUCAUGAAGUAGCAAUGAAAAUAAUUUUAUAAUUGUGGUCACCACAGCACAAGGAACUAUAUUAAAGCACUGCAGCAUUAGGAAGGUUGAGAAGCACUGGUUAAGUCUUAAUCAAAUGUAAAAAGUAAGAUCUUAGUAGUUAUUUUGUUACAUGUAUCUUUAUGCACAUGUAAAUAUUUUGUGUGUGUGCAUGAAUAUAUUUGUGUGCACAUACAUAUAUCAGUGAGCACAUGUGUAUCAAGGUCAGAGGCCAAUACUAAGUGUCUUCCUCAAUUCUCGUCUGCCUUAUUUUUUGAGAUAGUGUCUUACUCAACCUGCAGGUUAUCAAUUUGAUUAGACUCCUGUCCCCCAAAACCUUAGGAUUCUCAUGUCUCCACAUCUCCUGCUAGGAUUAUAGGUAUGCUACUGUACGCAGCUUUUUGUGUGGGUGUUAGAGAUCCAAUAUCAGAUCUUCAUCCUGGUAUAGCAAGCAUUAUACUGACUGAGUCAUAUUCCCAGCAUAACAAGUAACUUUUUUUCUUCUUUGAUAUUUUGUCAUAUGGCAUAAGAUGCAUUAUGAUUAAUCCUAGAAUUCUAUAUUUAAGUUUCAGUGUAUCAAGAAGGAAUAGUAUAUAUCACUUCAGGACUUUAUGUACCCUUUAUGGAAAAAGUGAACAAUUUCCAUUGCAUGUAAGAUAAUUGUAGUGUAUGAGAACUAUAAAUUAGUUAUUGUCAUUCUUUGGAUAUUACAUAGAUUUAAAGAUACAUGUGCAGCUACCCGGCUAGCAAGGGAUGGAGUGUAAAAAUCAACUUUAUAUGUUAACCUAGCUUGUCUCUGGUUGCCAGUUAUUCAAUUAGUCACUAAUCUCCAUGUAUCUGACUAGUACAGGUGGGCAAAGGGAAAGAAAGCCCAACAGUAUAACUUUUCUUGUUCUUUUCCAUAAAAGCAUUGAUUCUCACAAAGUGGGACUACAGAUUAACUGUUAUAAUAGGUGCUUUGUGUUUAAUCUUCACUAUGACGUGAAUGGAUGAGUAAUAGGAUACCCUGACCACAGAAUUAACUACUGUUAUCAUAAUUCAAAAGAUACAGUUGCAGAUACGAGAUAAAUAAUCCAGAAUAUUGGGAUCUAAAUGGUCCAAAAACUGGGAAAGUCUUAACUUUCUAAAUGUUACAACCUCCAAUGAUUAAAUUACUCAAUUGUAGUUGGAUUUUCUUGGACCACCAGCCUGCAAAUAAUAACUUGGACUUACUAUUAAUUAUGGAAGCUUGGCAAUUAUUAGCUUAGGCUUGUUCUGCUAGCUAUUAUAACUUAAAUUAACCUGAUUUGUAUUAAUUUACACUCUAUCAUGUGGCUUUGUUCCCUCUCCUCUGUACUGUAUGUCUGAUUUGUUUAGAGGAUUGUUGGCACCUCUCCACCUCUCUUUUUCCCAGACCUCUCUCUCUCUCUCUCUCUCUCUCUCUCUCUCUCUCUCUCUCUCUCUCUCUCUCUCUCUCUCACACACACACACACACACACACACACACACACACACACACACACACACACACACAAACUCCCUCCCUCCCUCCCUCCCUGGGAUUCCUACCUAUUCCCUCCUGCCUAGCUAUACAUGCAGCAGCAUGGACCCAGAAUCUUCCCAGAUCUGGGGUGGAUAGACUGCCUCCAGGCCAGGGUCCAUAGUCAUAAAGCUCCCUAUCACUGACCAGAAGAGGGUGGAGCUAGCCUCCAGACCAUGUGUUAAGCUAUCCCAGUGGUAGAGAGCCUGGCAGACUAAGGUUUGGCUCACACCAUCAGAGAAUGCUGUAGGCACUUAAUAAAGCCAGGUCCAGAAUCUGAAAACUUCUAAAAAGCAACAGCAUGCUUAAAUGGAUUUUUAGGUGCUGAGGAAAGAAAAAAAUGGGUAUAGACAGGCAUAAAAAUAGUUUAAAAAUAAUAAAGUCUUUAAAGAGAGAGAACAGAAACUCUGGCUAUCAAAUGGUGCCCAACAAAGAGCACGAAUUUCCACAUAAACCUGACAAAAGCUUAAAAGGGGAUUAUAAACACAAAAUAACAGAGGCAAGCAAAGUUUCUUGGUAACAGCAUUUUCUCAGGUGUUAUCUGUUUACUACAGAAAAUCAGAAGCUCCCAGCUCCUUUAAGAGAGGUUUCUUGACUCAGAGUUAACAGCAAAAACUGCAUGGCUCUUAAAAGAAGCCCUGUUACCAAACAAUUCAAUGAUGUUUACAAACAGCCAGCAACAUGCUUCUUGGUGGUGACUAGAAACUCUGCAGAGUUGUGGCAAUAAGUAUGGUUCCCACCAGUACUUCACCAUGAAGCUACUCUCAGAAAGCCAAGAAAUAGAAUGGGACCAGACACCUCUUUAAUUUAGCCAUACUGUUUAGCAGAUAAGACUCAUGUGGUUAGAAAAAAAGAUAGAGAUAUACAGUAAAGAUAGAUUCAGAGAAACAAAACCAUAUACAUAGGCUUGAGAGAGAAAAGGAAAAAAGCAAAAAUAAAAAAUAAAAAAAAAUAGAGUAUCUGGGUGUGGUGGCACAGGCCUUUAAUCCAAGCAGCUGGUAAGCAGAGGCAAGCAGAUCUCUUCGAUUUCAAGGCCAGCCUAGUUUAUAAAGUGAAUUCCAGGACAACCAAUGUUACACAGAGAAAACCUGUCUCAAAAAAUGAAAGUAAAAGAAAUAGAGUAAUAAAAUAAAAAAAGUCACAUAAAGAUGGAAAGUACACAGAAAGUCUGGAUAGUGUAUGUUAUUGUGUUGUCUUUAAAUUUCUGCUAAAGGAGAAACAGUUGCUAAAAGACAUUUGAUUAUAAAUGCUGCUAGAUAAAUCCAACCUAUAUAUUUUGAAUAUUCCUUGACUUUAAAGUUCAAGUAUAAGGACAUGUUACUUUGGAAAAGAGACUGUUUUUGUUUCCACAGAUGAUGAAAAGCUGUGGAUUCCUUCCAGACUAAUAAGGUUUGAUGAAGCAAAAGCCCCUUGGAGCAAUGGCCCAGACAGAAAAGAUGAGAUGAUGGAGGAUGUUCUUCUGUAUACAUGUUUGUGUUAUUGGUUGGAGAAUAAAACACUGGCCAGUAGCUACCAGAUGAGGAGAAUUCUGGGGAGAGGACAAAGAGAGGAGCCACAGGGAAAGCCAUGUAGCUACAGUGAAGAUGGGAUUGCUGGGUGUUCUUUGAUUUUCCAGGCCUGUAGGCUGAAGAUGGAUGCUCCAAUGUGCAAAGGAACCUUGGAUGAUUAUCCAGUCAGCCAACUGUUUAUGUUAUUUCUACAGUUUUGGAAAUUGCUUGCUCUGCACUUCCUGUUUACUCAGCUUUGAUGUUCCCACCUGAAAGUAAAUAAUGCUGAGAAGAGGUCACAUCACCAUUGCAUCUAGAACCAGACAGAGCCCAGUCCUCUCCAGCAUCAUGACAAUGACUAAGUGCCAUGAUUAUGCUGAAGCACAAUGACAAUGACUAAGCCGCCAACCUCUCAUUCCUGUGAGUCAUUGUUCUUUUCCAACUAUGACCUAGUUCAGGUUAAUCAUUCUAACUCCUAGAUAAAUGUUUCCCAAUUUCUUGACAAAAUCCAGCCUAAAACCAGGCCCCUGCUUUCUGAUUCUCCCCUUAGAGUUAUUUCAAGUCCGGUCUAUUCUCAAGAGGCUCCUAGACUCCACUGAGCUUCACUCUCCUUUCCUGCAGCACCCGAAGAAGCUUAAUUAUGUUGCCAUCAGAGGAGUCCCUGGUGGUUUCAUUGUCUGCAUUUCUUGAUUUAUCAGCAAACAACAACAAAAAAAAACCGCACACUCCUACAACAGAAAAACCCACACCAGAGAAGCACAGAAAGCCUUCCACAAAUGGAGAGAAAGGAGAAUUCUGUGUCGUAUAUAGAAACAACCAGCAACUUCUGAGAUGAAUAUUUAUUCUUUAAAGCUCCUGGUAUUUGUGCUGUAUACAUUGUCAUCGUUAAAAAUGUGAAGGCGGUCAAUAAACUCUCCAAACAGAGCAACCUCUUGGGCUUGUGAGCAUCUGCAAGAAGAAAAUUUCAUACCCUACAGCCUGGAAAAGGAAAUGCCUCAACCAAUUUUCCUGCACAGGUGAGUGGCCUUCCAAUCCUCUUGCUGAAUUUUGGGCAUAUUAGAUUGACUUAUUUAUUUUUAGAUACACAUGAUUGCAGUGAAGCAUUACCUCCCUGUCUUUCUUAACAGUGUGGAUGGAGUGACAAACACCUUCCCAGAGAGCCUCCAAGGAGGCAAACAAGGCAGAGGAGAGAAAGAACAUAGAAAAAUCCAUGUCUUGCAAAUGCCAAGAGAGAAAACAAUCAAAUUAUCUGGCAAGUCGAUCAUUCAGUGCAGUGUUGGGUUGGGGGUGGGGGAACUGAGAAUCUUGAAAAUCUUCUCGCAUGGGGAAGCAUGCACUACCUUUGCCUGGAACAGCAAAGGAAGCAAUGUUGAGAGGCCUUUUAUCUCAGCAUCCUGCGGGGCCUCCAGUUUGUGCUGCCAGGGGACAGAAUGCUUCUCCAUGGUGGUAGCUCUUUUUCUGCUCAGCUGCCAAGAGGCUGGCAUGUGUGUGGCUCAGCAGUGUGGCCCUCAGCCAGGGCCCGGCCAGCAGCAGCCACCCUCAGAGGAGGAGCACCUGUUCUCCCUAGCCUGGCAUUGAGAAGGUGCCAUCCUUCUUUUCCUCAUGCUGACUGUCCCUGAGUGUUUCCAUUUUGUCUUUGCCGAUGGCAGGUGCCUGCUGUCUUCUUCUGAUCACCAGCCAGGUUCAGGGGGAGGGGAAUCCAUAUCCAUCCGGUUCAUUCCUUUCCCUGAACACACUCCUGCAUCUCAGGAAUCAGAUAACAGCAGGUGCUGUGACAUUAUGGCAAACAUUCUUGUCCUGGAGGAGUGGAUGUGUCACCUACUGAAUCUGCGUCUCGAACAUUUCAUCAAUCACCCAUUGAUUGUGCCUCCUCUGGAUCCCAGGCUCAGCUUUCGGCUAUAUAUUGUAAGCUUAACAUCCUUAAUACCAACGUGGGCACUGCUGUCUUGUUUAAAAAUAAGCACAAUUCAACUAGAAGUUCAUACUCUGACAUUUAUAUUAGCUAGCUUUUCACCAGGCUCAGGCAGUUGCUACAGAUGUAUUUUUCCUCCAUAUGCCUACCAUUUGUGACAAUGGGUGGACAUACUUGUUGCCCCUCAGAGUGUAACCGUCUCAGUCUUUUCAUAAGGUUCCUAAGGGAUGCUGUGGCUGUCAGUGUAUGACAAUCGACUUUGGAUGGAUACUGAUGAUGAUUAACUAGCUUGCCUACACAGCAAGGGACUGUUUAUUAACCAGCAUUGAUUAAGCCUGUAGUCGGUGAUGAUCCAUGUGUGAGAAUCUUCAGGGACUCUCACACAAGUAGGAAACACAAUGAUUGUUGUCCAGGAAAACCUUAAAAUCUAGUUGAAGAGAUAAUUAUGCAAAUGUUUCUGAAGCAAAAAUGUUGUCCAAGCCUCUUUGCCUGGUAACAAAGUUGCUCUGAAGCGUGAUCACACUGGGAAUGAACAGUGCUGCAUUGUCCAGAACAUUCCAUUCUGGUUUCUUGCUUCAGAUUUGAACUCAUAUAUUUGUCUUAACAUGUAGCCCCACCAUUACUUAUUUCUCUAAAUCAGUUAGCAAACCUGUCUAUAAUAAAGAUAUAUAGACCACAAGGCAAAAUUGAACCAUUAUUUAUGUUUGAAAGGUUUACAACAUUUCUUAUAAUGUAUAAUUAAAACAUUCAAAAGACAUUAACUCACAGAAUAUACACAGAUAGAUGGUAGACCAGAUAUGAUCCAUGGUACCUAAUCUAAAUCCUAUUAGUGUUUCUAGACCAAGAACAAAUUCCAAGGUCCCCAUCUAAAAUUUUCCUCCCUCUUAGAAGUAUCUCAUUUACAAAACUUCUUCAAGCAAACAUUCUUACUAGGGCAUUUACUAAGUAGAAUGAUAGAAGGAGCAAGAAUAUAAAUUUUAAAAUAAAGCACAAUAAGCUUUGCAUCCUGAUUUUUCAAUUUAUAGCUCAGUAGCACUCUGAAAACAACGUAAUUUUCUAAGUCUUGGUUUUUGUGUAGUUGGUAUAGCAACAGAUGAAUGAUUUACACACAACAUUAUUAAAGGAAGAACACAGAAAUAUUUAUUUCUUUG